CAUGGCUCAGGACGAACGCUGGCGGCGCGCCUAAAACAUGCAAGUCGAACGAGAAGCCCGGGCUUGCCCGGGUGGACAGUGGCGAACGGGUGAGUAACACGUGAGGAACCUGCCCCGAAGACCGGGACAACACCGGGAAACCGGUGCUAAUACCGGAUGUCUUCACCGGAUCGCAUGGUCUGGUGAAGAAAUGGAUUCCGCUUCGGGAUGGCCUCGCGGCCUAUCAGCUUGUUGGUGAGGUAACGGCUCACCAAGGCAACGACGGGUAGCUGGUCUGAGAGGAUGUCCAGCCACACUGGGACUGAGACACGGCCCAGACUCCUACGGGAGGCAGCAGUUAGGAAUCUUGCGCAAUGGACGAAAGUCUGACGCAGCGACGCCGCGUGCGGGAUGACGGCUUCGGGGUUGUAAACCGCUUCAGCAGGGACGAAAGUUGACGGGUAACCUGCAUAAGAAGUCCCCGGUCCAACUAACGUC
rnacentral:rRNA from 1 species